ensembl:miRNA Mir3473e microRNA 3473e
CUCUGCCCUCAAGAGGCUGACACUGGGCUGGAGAGAUGGCUCGUCUGGAAGAACACGGGAUGCUCUCUCAGAGGACCCAAGGGCAAUUUCCAAUACCCACAAGGCAGACA